rnacentral:rRNA from 1 species
GUCGAACGGACAAGUAAGAGCUUGCUCUUAUGAGUUAGUGGCGCACGGGUGAGCAAUGUAUAGCUAAUCUGCCCUACACUAGAGGACAACAGUUGGAAACGACUGCUAAUACUCUAUACUCCUCUCUAGCAUAAGUUAGAUAGGGAAAGUUUUUCGGUGUAGGAUGAGGCUAUAUUGUAUCAGCUAGUUGGUGAGGUAAUGGCUCACCAAGGCUAUGACGCAUAACUGGUCUGAGAGGAUGAUCAGUCACACUGGAACUGAGACACGGUCCAGACUCCUACGGGAGGCAGCAGUAGGGAAUAUUGCUCAAUGGGGGAAACCCUGAAGCAGCAACGCCGCGUGGAGGAUGACACUUUUCGGAGCGUAAACUCCUUUUGUUAGGGAAGAACAAUGACGGUACCUAACGAAUAAGCACCGGCUAACUCCGUGCCAGCAGCCGCGGUAAUACGGAGGGUGCAAGCGUUACUCGGAAUCACUGGGCGUAAAGGACGCGUAGGCGGAUUAUCAAGUCUCUUGUGAAAUCCUAUGGCUUAACCAUAGAACUGCUUGGGAAACUGAUAAUCUAGAGUGAGGGAGAGGCAGAUGGAAUUGGUGGUGUAGGGGUAAAAUCCGUAGAGAUCACCAGGAAUACCCAUUG